rnacentral:lncRNA from 1 species
CUCAUCUCCAUCAGAAAAGCAUGUGUCCUUCCUGGGGCACUGAAAACCAUGGAUGGACUGAAACUGCUGUGAACCUCUGCCAAAGGUGCAAAAUGAAAAGGGCAUGUUCUAAUUACUUUUUCAACCAAACUUGGAACUAAAGGAUCUCAGUUUCCUCAGACCUGUGGCCUAAAACAUUUGCUAUGGCACGUGUGACAGUCAUUCGUGUCCUGCUGAUAUUAAGCCUUUUCCAACAUAAGGCACUGUUUUCCACAAUCCUGGCAAGUGGAAAAGAACACAUAAAGGAUGCACUUAGGCUGCAUAAUGCUCUGUGGACCACCAAGGAUGAUUCAAGAGUUAUUUUGUCCUGGAACAAUAACCUGACAAAAGAAGAAACCAAGAAAUACACUGUGAAGUAUAUUUUGAUUUAUAAGUUCUUCAAUACCACUAAGGAAAGGAAAGAAAGACUGCAGGAGAAGGAAAAGAUAAUACAUCUUCAAUUACACUCUGGUUUUAAUGCUAAAGUUAAGACACAACUUUUUGCAAAAGAAACAGAAGACAUAAUUAAGGAGAGUGACUGGACAGAAUUUACUUACAA